rnacentral:rRNA from 1 species
CCUUUAAUGUUUGAUGUUCUAACGUGGACCCGUGAUCCGGGUUGCGGACAGUGUCUGGUGGGUAGUUUGACUGGGGCGGUCUCCUCCUAAAGAGUAACGGAGGAGCACGAAGGUUGGCUAAUCCUGGUCGGACAUCAGGAGGUUAGUGCAAUGGCAUAAGCCAGCUUGACUGCGAGCGUGACGGCGCGAGCAGGUGCGAAAGCAGGUCAUAGUGAUCCGGUGGUUCUGAAUGGAAGGGCCAUCGCUCAACGGAUAAAAGGUACUCCGGGGAUAACAGGCUGAUACCGCCCAAGAGUUCAUAUCGACGGCGGUGUUUGGCACCUCGAUGUCGGCUCAUCACAUCCUGGGGCUGAAGUAGGUCCCAAGGGUAUGGCUGUUCGCCAUUUAAAGUGGUACGCGAGCUGGGUUUAGAACGUCGUGAGACAGUUCGGUCCCUAUCUGCCGUGGGCGCUGGAGAACUGAGGGGGGCUGCUCCUAGUACGAGAGGACCGGAGUGGACGCAUCACUGGUGUUCGGGUUGUCAUGCCAAUGGCACUGCCCGGUAGCUAAAUGCGGAAGAGAUAAGUGCUGAAAGCAUCUAAGCACGAAACUUGCCCCGAGAUGAGUUCUCCCUGACCCUUUAAGGGUCCUGAAGGAACGUUGAAGACGACGACGUUGAUAGGCCGGGUGUGUAAGCGCAGCGAUGCGUUGAGCUAACCGGUACUAAUGAACCGUGAGGCUUAACCUUACAACGCCGAAGGUGUUU